CCUCUAUUAAGCUAAAGUUGAAGCCGGAAUGAACUGAAACGAUCGAAAGUGGUUCCGGUUUUGUUCCAGUUAGUUCCGUUUUAUUUCUAUUUGGGCUCGAUAGGGCUCUGGUGCUUUUUACGAGUUUUGUAAAAUUGCAGAAUUUCGGACCGUCAGAAUUGAAAUAUGCAUGCACAUAUUACGGAAUAAUUAGUUUGUGCAGUGUUUCAAAAUAUAGAAUAAAAAUUAGCAACUAGUGUGCUCCCUUGCCUAGGUGAGAAUGGAUAUUUAUACUUAAAUACUAACCCUCAUUAUUGAUAAUAUUGAUUUUUCUGGCCGUUCGCGUAUCUGUGACAACUCGUUAUUCAAAUCUUGACAGAUGAAUUCUGCUACCACACUUGAUUUACGUUUCAUCAAAAGCCAAUAGUAUGUACAAACUCGGAGAGAUAAAAAAAGAAUCGUACAUACUUUCAUUGGUUGUAUUUUAGCCACUGUUACAUUUUCCAAAUGCGUUGAAGGUUUCCUAAGCCGUUAUCCACAUAGCAUAAUGUGAAUAAUAUAACAGAAUGGCAACAAAAACAAAUGGAUUUGGAAUAAAACGAGAUUUUGACGGAAUGUUGAACGCUCAACUGCCCAAAUCGUUUGGCUCAUCAUCGUGUAGUUUUCACCACAAAGAGUCGAGAAAUGAUCCAUCACUGGAAUCAUUGGUUGAUAGUUUAUUCAAUAAACAAUUCAUCAUCGACAAUACGAAUUUCAAAAUUCCGGAAAGCAAGACAAUAUUUACUGAAAACCCUUGGAUUGUACCGGAAUUACUCACAAUAAAGGCUGAGUUGAAUGAUGUAAAAAAUAAGUUAAACGAUUAUGAUCUUGCGGAAUGGCAUCAGCAUACAAGACGAAGAAAUAAAGCAGGAGAUGUACAGUGGCGUCUUAAAAAAGAAAUUGACCCAGAAUUCCUGACACAGGCAUGGUCCAAGUUUUAUGAGAAUGCAUCUGUGUUCCCACUGAUACCUAAGAUUGCUAUACAAACUAAAAAAAUGGUUUCGGUUCACUUGUGUGAAGCUCCUGGUGCUUUCGUGACUUCAUUAAAUCACUGGCUUAAAUUGAAUGCACCCAGUGUUGAAUGGGAUUGGGUAGCUACAACAUUGAAUCCAUAUUACGAAGGAAAUCCCAAUUCUUGUAUGAUCAGUGAUGAUAGGUUUAUCAUAUCUUCUUUAGAUCAUUGGUGUUUUGGUACCGAUUACACUGGAAAUUUAAUGAGUUUCAAGAACAUGGAGAAUCUAGUAGGAAUUGCUAGAAAGAAAGGAGAUGUAUUAUUGGUUACAGCAGACGGUAGCAUAGAUUGUACUAAUGAUCCUGGAGAGCAAGAAUCAAUAGUUGCACCAUUGCAGUUUUGUGAGGCUGUUACUGCUUUGAAGCUAUUAUCGACUCAUGGAAGCCUACUCUUAAAAAUGUUUACUAUUUUUGAGCAUCAGUCUUUGUGUCUUGUUUAUUUUCUAUCAUGUCUAUUUGAGAAAGUCUUUAUCAACAAGCCUGUGACUAGCAAAGAAGGAAAUUCCGAAACAUAUUUAGUAUGUUUAGAUUACCGGGGUCAGGCUUUUGCAGGAGCACAUCUAGAUGUAUUGACAGACUGUUAUGAGAAGCGUACGAACAAAUCGAUGUUCUGCCAAAGGGAUCUUCCAGAAGACUUUGUUCAGCAAAUGAUAUCUUGUGGUCAAUUUUUCAAAAACUAUCAGAGUAAAGUUAUUUUGAACAAUAUAGAGUCUUAUCACUGUGGUGGAGAUAAGGGCCACUUAGAUAAUGAAGUUAAAAGAAUCAAAUACCUAGUCGCUAAUAAGUUUAUAGCUGAGUAUAGACUGAAGAAGUUGAAUGGAGAAAAUUCAGAAGUGGUUGGAAAGACCAAAUUGGGAUGCAUCCAUACAAUUAACUCAGAUUCAAGAAUUCCGAACGGUUCUUAUAAUGAAAGGCGUUUGGUGGACAGCUUGGACCCCAGUUGUCGCUUGUUAGCACUCUGUAAUGAUAUGAAUCUUAUUGAACUUUGCGCAACUACACAAUGGUUUACUUUUUCAGGGACUUUGGACGAGAUAAACGUCAACUGUGGAAAGGGAUUUUCCAAAGUAGAAAGCUCUAAAUUUUGUAUGGGAAAGUUUUUGAAAAUUCGUAACACCGUCUAUGAUAUAUUAGACAUACUUGGCAUUGACCUACCUGGUGGAGAAGUAAAGACUAUCCAGGAUUACAUUUCGAAAGUAGCACGUGACAUAAAAAAUUAUAAACAUUUAUGGUUUAAACAAUCAAGUCUAGUUGACCAUUACCAAACAAUAAAUAAAUUAAGUGAGACAUUGAAAAAUGUCGGAAAAGGGGAAAGUCUUGUUUUGAUUGGUUAUUCCUUAUUAACUCAGCUAAACGUAGGGAUUUUGUAUAUACUAGCACACACGUUCAAAUCGCUUGGUUUAAUUUUAAAUGAACAAUUUGGGUGUUUAAUAAUACUUGAGUGCAAUUUAUUUAACCAAAGUAUACUACGGUUUGUGGAAGAAAUCCAUAAGGCUACUAUUGAAGCCAAAGUGGCUGGUGAAUCUGUAUUAGCAGUCCUGCCUAUCUUCAAACUUUACGGAUACUCAUUGAUGGAAGGAUGAGAAGUAGUAAGUUAUACAACCACAUUCGACACUUUUCAAGUCAACAAAUAGUUCCGCAGAUAUGUAUUAUCGGAGCAGGACCAGCUGGUUUUUACGCUACCCAACAAAUAAUCAAGACAUUAAAAGAUGCAAGAGUUGAUAUACUAGAUAGACUUCCUGUACCAUUUGGUCUGGUACGAUUUGGCGUAGCUCCUGAUCACCCUGAGGUUAAAAAUGUAAUUCAUACUUUCCACAAAACUGC